UCCAUGUUCUGUAAAUUUGACUGUUCACAAAAAUAAUCAAUUUCUGUUGUUUCUCCUCCAUCCUGAUGUGAUUGAACACUCGGCAGAGGUUGGCCGAUUUCUGUUGUUUCCCCUCCAUCCUGAUGUAAUUGAACACUCGGCAGAGGUUGGCCAAUUUCAAAGGAGUCAAGUUCAUCACUCAGGGAAACUUUAACAACUUCAACGAGCAUCCUCUGCCCUAGUUCUUUUCCAGAAGCAACUAUGAAACCUGGAAGUUGUUCGUUCAUUGUGGAUAAAAGCGUAUUUAAGAAAGUCUUUGUAUCUCCAACAACCAUUUCAUUGAGUGGCAGAAAAUACUCAACCACAGAAACAAUAUUGUUGGCACAUUUGCUUUGCAAACAAAUUGCAAAACUCUGGGUCAAUCUAGCUUUUCGUGCACUAGGCACCAAAGGGUAUUCAUUGAAGCUUAAUAGAGUAACAUCUUUGCAAAAGCAUGAACCUUGGGAUGCAAAUGCCCUCCCGACCAAUGCCUUACCGCUCUCAAUAAAACAGGCCUCAGAAACAUCUUCAAACUCAUGAUACAUUGAACUCGAAUGUUCAUAGAUGGAGGCGCCAGCACAACACAGGACUUUUGAAGAGCCGGAUUGAGAAUAAGGAAUCCAAAUUUGAACAAAGGGUAAACUGUGUAUUUUAAGGAUCUCAUAUAACCCGAUCUCUAGUUCGACAAGUCUAUCAUCGACCAGCGGCUGUAAUAUGAUAAGAUAAGCUAUGAAAUUAGUGGGACAUAUAUAUUAGAGCAAUGGAAAUAAAAACGAGAACAGUCUCUGAUCUCCUUUUCUUUUACUUUUAUUUAUGUUGCCUGGUUUCACAAAACUUAAAAAAACAACAACACCAUACCUCUGAAAGUCCAAAAAGCAUGUCCCUUGAGUUACAAAUGCUAUACAACCCAAAUGAUUUGGAAUUCAACCCCUAUGAUGGAAAAACAAACAAGGAUUAUCGACUUCUUCAAACAGUAAAUACAGAAUAUAAACAAAAGUAAUUAACCAAUGUCCUUUGGUUGAAAUCCAACAAUUUAGACAUGUAUUCGCACAACCAAAAGAAUGGGUGGCACACUUGUUUUUUGUCUAAAUUCAAGCAUAUGACCAUCCCUCCAACCUCAUCUAUCUUCCAGGAAAGUGUUGACUUCAAGUCUAUGGCCUAACUCCUACAGAUAUCAUGAUGAAGACAGAAAGUGAUCAUCCUAGCCAGAAUAUAUUUAAGGUAAGCCUCAUACAACAACAACAACAUAUCUAGUGUAGUCCCAUACAAUGGGGUUUGGGGAGGGUAGUGUACACAGACCUUACCUCAACCUCAAAGGUGAGAUAAAGAGGUUGUUUUUGAUAGACCCUCGGCUCAAGGAAAAAACAGGCUAGGAAAAGACAUAAUGAAAGUACAAUAGACAAAAGAUAGUAACAAAACAAUAGAUAGGAACAUAAUAGUACUACAACAAAAAGACUAACUAAAAAACAAACUACAUGAAAUAACAAAUAGUCAUAGAAAUCGGAGAACAAGAGAGUAGUCCUAUGACUACUCAGUAGGGCAACAAGCACUCCUAACUACUAGUAUGGACAUUCUCCAACCUACCAACCUUCUACCCUAAUUUGUGUCUUCCACACCUUCCUAUCUAAGGUCAUGUCCUCAAUAAGCUGUAAUUGUGUCAUAUCCUAUCUAAUCACCUCUCCCGGUACUUCUUUGGUCUACCUCUACCUUUUCUGAAUCCAUCCAUAACCAACCUCUCACACCUCCGCACUGGGGCAUCCAUGCAUCUCCUCAUCACAUGCCCGAACCAUCUCAACCUCGCUUCCCGCAUCAUGUCUUCUACCGAAGUCACCCCCAACUUUUCAAGGAUAUCCUCAUUUUAAAUUCUAUCUCUCAUAGUAUACCCACACAUACAUUGCAACAUCCUCAUCUCUGCCACUUUCAUCUUCUGAAUGUGAGAGUUCUUGACUGACCAACAUUCUACACCAUACAACAUAACUGGUCUAACUACCACCCUAGAGAACUUCCCUUUGAGUCCAUGUGACACCUUCUUAUCACAAAGACUCCAAAUGCGAGCCUUCAUUCCCUCCACCUUGCACCAAUAUAGUGGGUGCAUCCUCGUCAAUCUCUCGUUAUCCCUAGAUAAUCCACCCAAGAUACUUAGAACUACCUCUCUUUUGGAUGACCUAUGUAUCAAGUCUAACUUCCACAUUAGCCUCAUGUGUCACAUCAUUAAAGUUGCACUCCAAGUAUUUAAUCUUGGUCCUUCUCAACCUGAACCUAGACUCCACUCCAGGGUCAAUCUCUAAACCACUACCGCUAAAACAAGGUGAAAUCACUACUACCACACAAGCAGGAAAUGGCAAGUAAAACUAAUACCGCACAAGAUUCUAAGAAGAACUAAAGUCUGAAAACUAGAGAGCAGACAAGAAAGCCAGACAGCAAAUGGAACCAACCAGCAAGAGGCAGACUAGUAACUAGUUGUAAAUCUAAGUAACAAUGACCCGUGUACUACUCUAAUUAGAGAAAACCAAGUACAAGAAAUUUGUGAUAUUUAGACUCAGCCAACCACUAAUACUAAAUAUAAAUUUGUGAUACAGAAACACAAGAGCAAGCAGCAAUAUAUAUAUCUACUAGGGUCGAAUAUAAAGAAUCGACCAGUGCAACCAGAGGUACCAACUUCAGCAGGUAGAACCUGUGUGAAGGGAGUAGAUAUCAAUGUGUUGUUGUUAUUGUUCUAGACGAAAACGAUUUGUACUCUCCUACACGCAUUGGCGCUGCUGUCUCUUGAAAUUACUGGUCGCAGGCUGGAGUUGUCUCAGGGGGUGGGGUUGAGGGUGGGUAAGAAGACAUUCUAAGUUGAGCGUUAGAAGAGAGAGAAAAUUCCAUGCUAGUCGAUUCAAAAAAGGCUGACAGCCAGAAAGCAAUCGAAAAACUGCAGCUAUUCAACAUUUGAGCAUUCUAAAAAUAAAAUAAAAGAAGAGAUGAGCAAAUACCUUAAUAAGUUGGGGAAGACGUAGAGCUGAUUUUGUAGAUACAAUCUCAAGUACACCAAGGUACCGCUGAUCAUGGAGGUUGAACACUGGAAUUGCAUAAUAAGAAUGGAUUCCCAAUCGAAUUCCACUUUGAAGCAGUGGAAACUCUGCAGCGGAGUAACUUGGGAGGUCGGGGUUACAUUCUGGCGAGCAACUUUUGGAAACUCGUCCAAGUAGACCUUCCUUGUACUCAUCAAUUGGAAUCAAAGUAUUGAGACAGAACCUCCUGUAUGAACACAACCUCUUAUCAAGUUCCUUACUGAAAACAAAUAGUUGAUCUGCAGUGGACAGGAAAUUCGAUCCGUUGACCUUGAUGGGUGCCCAGAAUUGAACCAGAGAAAUAUGUGGACUCCACAUUUUCUCAAGAACAGAUUUGAUCCUCAAUUUCACCAUUACAGAACUGGAAACAACAGAAUCAGCAGCAGCAGCAGCUGGAUCAUGAAGAUAAGAUUCAAAACAAAAAACUGACAAGUGAAGCAAAAAUAGUUUGAUAUUCACACCUGAACUCACACAUGAUAGGGGAAAUUGAUCGCUGGUACUGCAACUCAUCGUUGUGUUUUAUGCUCCAAAAUGCCCAGCCAUUACAGUUCAGUUGAUACCAGUCCAGUUGACAGGGCAUUACGGCACAUACCUCUGAAGCUUGAUGAAGAAGAUGCUCCAUAGAGGAGAAUUUCACUGCCUUUUGCCCCUCUUCUCUGCUGCUUAUAUAGGGGCCACUUGCUUUUUGUUCUCUACACUAAUUUACUGUGAGCACACAAAAUACACGCUUUUGUGGAUGGGUGCAAGAAAGUAUCUCCAAAAAACCACAAAUUUAAUUUGUGGAUGGGUGCAAGAAGCUCAAGAGGUUAAAGAGGCUCCGCGUUUUGUGGCAAUACAUAAAAAAAUAUACUGUAGUAUCCACGCUGUAGCCACAGUAGAAAUUGCAACAGGAGAAAGAAAGGCAAAGAGUUAUAGAAUUUGUUCUUUAUUGAAUUUAUAAAAAGCAUCCAUAAUUCUCAAUUUGUAUGACAGUGACACUCUUUCAAAUAGUAAGAAAAUUCACUUCAUACUUCAAGUUUAUCAUUGUACAUUUAUUUAGUAACUAUUAUUUUAAAUUCAAGUUUUCAAUAAAUUUAGUUUUAAAUUUGUGAAUUCAGUUAACUAUUUUUACAUGAAAUAUAAAUGGGUGUUACAUAUUUUUAUGUCAUAAUUAAAUAUUAUUCAAAUAUUAUUACCAUCUACAGUAAAAUCACGCUAAAUUAAUACUCCCUCCGCUUCAAAUUAAUUGAAUUGUUGAGACAUUUUUCAAAUUAAUUUAAUUGUUCAAUUUUCAAGACCACUUUUAAAAUGUUCUUCUAAUUUUACCCUUCAUUAGUUAGUAUUGAAAUUAGUUAUUAAUUAAUGUUUAGUUAUUUUAAUCAUAAAUUUGACAAUAAUUAAUAAGGAUAAAACUGAAAAAUUAUUUUCUAAUUUAUGUCUUAGUCUCCUUUUCUUAAAGAAUGUGAAACACCACAAAAAUUUAAUUAAUUUAAAAUAGAGAAAGUACUCGGUAAAUUAAUAAUCUAAAUGAUAAGAUAUGUAACCCUUUCUUCAUCUGUUGUGGUGAGCAUUAUGUUUAGGGAAAGAAAGUAGGUAACUUUACAUUGUAUGAAAGUGAACAAAAUGAAAUGUAUUGCACUUUAUCUACUACCCUCUCUGUCUAAUUACUUAUUCGCUUUUGAAUUGACACGCCUAUUGAGAAAAUAAUAAUUGACAUAGUGAAUUUACCAUUUUACCCUUAUUAAUUGUGAAGUGGGUGAAUUAAAAACUUAAUAUUUUUAAGAAGUUCUACCUUUUUCAAAGUAAUUACUUGAAUGUAUAAUAGAUAAAAAAAAACAUUGUCCUUUCUAGAUUUGUUAAGAUAGACAAGUAAUUAGGGACAACUAAAAAAUGAAAAGUGGACAAGUAAUUAGGGACAAGGGAGUAGCAUUCAAUUUAAAGUAGUGGAAGAAACUUUACAAUAUUAAUGUAGUAAUUGUUACAAUAUGAUUGUUGUGAUUUACUCCCUCUGUCCCUAGUUACUUGUUCACUCUUCUUUUUAUGGUUGUUCCUAAUUAUUUGUCUAUUUUGACAAAUUAAGAAAGGACAAAAAAAAAUUAUUUAUUAUAUCCUCAAUUAAUUACUUUGAAUUUUUUUUUUGAAAAUCUUAAAUUUUUAAUUCAUCCACUUCAUAGUUAAUAGGGAUAAAUUGGUAAACUCAUUAUGUCAAUCAUGAUUUUCUUAAUAGGUGUGUCAAAUUAAAAGUUGACAAAUAAUUAAAGACACAGGCAAUAUUAGACUUCAAAAAUUUCACUUUUUCUUUUAUAUAUUGUAUAUAGACACUCAUGAAUUAAUUAUUGCCCUUUUAUCUUCCACCACUAUAGUACCAUAAGUUAUUUAUUCUCCCACGUUGUGUGAUUUUAUUAUUUUUCUAUUAUAUUAGAAGAGUCGGUAAAAUUAUUGGUAUCAACAUGUCUCCUAGGAAUUGAAGGGUAUUUUGGUCAUUUAAAUUGUAAUUGAGCAAUUGCAUUUAGGGCUGUUCAAAAUCGAUAAUCUGAAUCUAAAAAAAAAUUAUUGGUUUAUCAAUAAUGAGUUAUUGGUUUAAUGAUUUUAAUAACGAUUUUGAUUUUUUUGUUAUCGGGUUAUCAGUUCUUAACGGUUUAAGGUUUUUUCUUAAUGGGUUAACCGAUAACCCAAUAGUAAGUUAAAUAAUUAUAUUUAUACCAUUUUGUAUAUAAAAUCCUUGACUUAGAGUUUGAUUUCCUACUUUUAUUUUUUGUUGUCUCAAACUCUUGAUUAUUCUACAAUAUAAAAGUGUUUGCUUUUGAACAAGAUCUAACUUAUGAACUCAUGUGCAUGGUUUAUUUGGUUUGUCACCUUGUUUCUAAGUGAUUUUAAAUGAUUUUUUUUGUGUCAAAUCUUAACGGUUAAAUCGAUAACCGAACCGAUAACUAUCAAAAACCGAUAAACCAAUAACCGAUAAGUCAAUAUCUUAAUAGUUCUAUAAUGGUUUAGCAUCUCUACAACCAGGGCUGACUCAACAAGAUUUGGAGCCUAAAGCCAAAUCUUAAAGAGGGGCCCUAAUAUUUUUUUUAAAAAAAAAUUUAUAAAAAAAAAAGAGAUAAGGGUCUAAAAAAUACCCUAACUUUGGUCUAAUUUGUUGUUGCGAUACUAAACUUUCAUGAGAACAUAUUACCUCUCUAGACUAUUUAAUACCGUAUUUUAAACGUAUAUAUUUUCCCACGUGGACAUAAAAAAUAAUGCAAAAUUAUAAAUAGUAAUGUCGUCCACGUGGGCACAUAUAUACCUUUAAAAUACACGAUUAAAUAGUUCAGGGGGGUAAAAAAAUACACUAUUAAAUAGUCUAGGGAGGUAAUAGGUCCUCAUGAAAGUUUAGUAUCGCAACAGCAAAUUCGACUAAAGUUGAGGUAUUUUUCAGACCCUUAUCCCUAAAAAAAAUCAUCAUAUAUACUUUAUUUAAAAUCUACUUUUCUAGCCUUUUUAGAUGCAAAGUUAUUAAUUAUUAUUUUAUAAUCGAUAUGUUUUAAUAAUUCCUUUUCAAUUGAUAAUAUAGUUAAUCCAUCAAUAUCUCUUGAGACAUUGUUGAUCUAGAUAAGACUUUAUCAAUUUUCGUUUCGAAAAACUUCUUUCGGCUGAGGCACCGUGAAUUGUUAACAUUAUUCUAUAAGCAAUACUUUUUUAUUCAGAAUUUUUUAUUUUUUGUUAAAAAAAUCUAUCAAGGGCUCCUUUUUGGGAUUUAUUUAAUUCUUCAAGUUUUCUCUUUAUCUCUUUUUUUGUCAAAUCGAAAUCAUAUUUUCUAGUUGACAUAUUUAAAUUGAAUAAUUUUAGAACAAUUAAAACGACGACACACUUAUUAUUAUAUAUCUUGUCGAAUUAUAAUGUAACUAUCUUUUGCUUUCAUUAGUAGAAUUUAUUUCAUUGAUUUUCUUGUGUAUUUAAUAUUUUAUAUUUUUGACACUCCUUAAUAAAAUUCUGACUUAUCACCGGUACACUUACCACUAAUUUAUAGGCGGGUGCAAGUGGCUCAAGAAGCUCAAAAGGUUCAAGAGGCUCCGCGUUUUUUUUUUGUUCGAAAUACAUAAAGUAAACUGUACUACAUUUUUCCACGCGGUAAUUCGUGUGGAAAUUGCCAAAGGAAAAAAAAAAAUGGCAAAAAGUUGUGGAGUUGGAAUAUAGACAUCUUUCCAUGAGCCCAAACGUAAUUUGAUAAUUCCGCAUUCAUAAUAGCAGUGUUUUAAAAAACCCUGUUGGGAUUCGUCUCGGGACUCGUCCUAGGGUGGAACUUUAGCAAAACGCCUCGAGACUCAAGUGUAGGGCUUAGUUCCGUAAGACUUAUGCCCUAGGCCCCCAACUGUACACCCUAAGCACGCCCAACACUCAAAACUCAAGGCUUGCCUAACAGAUCUUACACAGUGUUAAAAUAUUUAGUUAAGAUUGUUGACCCUCAUAAUUUUUGAAUAAUUGAAUGAUACAUAAUAAUUUUUAAUCUAUGGAGAAAAAAUUGAGAAUAACUCAAAUAACAAGUUUUAGUAUCGCAUCUUUCCUAUUUGGUAACUAUAUUACGUAACAUUUCUUUUAUAAAUAGGUCACGAAAAAUUUUACUUUUUCAGUUAUCAUUGGUCUUCAUGAUUUUGUCAUCAAUCUCAAAAUUAUUAUAUUUUAUUUAGCUAUUUGAAAGUAAUUUUAUUUUUAUUCAUGAUGGGUGAUGUUUUUAUUAUAAUGCUAGUAAGAUUAUUAAUUAUUUUCUUUUAAGGGGGUAAAUCGUAUAGUAUGAUAAAAUAAUAUUUUUGAGAGAUAAUGAUUCUUUUAUUAUUAGAAAGUUAAGAUAUUAGAUUAUUUAUACUUGUAUAAUCAUGUUAGAACUUUUAUUUUCUAGUAUUAGUUUAUUUAAUCACAUUUGUAAUUAUUUCAAACUAUUGAUUUAUUUUUAUAAUUUUGUGUUAUUAUAUUAUUAUAUUUUAAUAUAAAUAAAAAAUUUAAAGAUCCAUAGGGCUUAUUCCCCACGUCUCGAAGCUUGUGCCUCACCCUAUACUAGGGCUUGUUUGGAUUGACUUUUGGCUUAUAAUGGCUUUUGGCUUUAUUUUUGUUAUUUUGGCUUUAAAAUAAGUGCUUAUAAGCAUUUUUUAACUUUACCCGAACACUUCAAAACUGCUUAAAAGCUAUUUUGACUUAAAAGCACCUAAAAUAAGUCAAUCCAAACGGGCACUAAGUAAAAUGCCUCGCCUCACGCUUAAAACACUGCAUAAUAGCAUUAACCACCUUGGUACACUGAGAACAAAGACAUGUCACAACACCUCAGCCUCAGGGAAGAGACAAACACCAUAUCACCAAAAGAUAACACACUUUCGGAAAAUCCUUCAUGAGUCAGCUUCUGGGUUAACCAGUAAUCUCAUAGUAGUCUGUCCUGACAAUCUUAGUGAAUGCAUACCAUAGCUCAAAUCUGAAUCAGUAGUUAUCAAAAUCCAAUCGUCAUCUUCAUCUUCAUACUUAAUUGAAAAUCUUUGAAGUGAUAUCUUAAACCUCUUUUCCACUUCCCCCUCCAGUUCUACCCUCGUUGAUGAAAAGGGGAGUUGGAACUUAAUGAUAUCACCUUUAUAUGUAACCUUUAAAGUCAUCAUCACAAGGUUUUCCUGUUGCAGCAGAUCUUUUGUGACAAAUGAUGUGUGCCUUUUUCUUGGGAAAGAGCAGGCCCACAUAUGGUUCAGUAGCUUGAAAAGAUACCCCUUGGCUAACAUGGAAAUUAACCUUUCUAGUCUUGUGAUGUGGCCAUCUAGUGAUUUCAUAUUCUCUACAUAUUCGUUUCAGUGUUGCUCGACUAACUGCAAUAAAUGAAGUCCACAAAAGGGAUUUCAGUGAACCUAUGAAUAAAUCAUUUCGGUUAAAGGCAUAGGAGCAUACAUAAUAACACAAAAGGAAUUAAGAACCUCAAAUGCGCUCAAGUUAGUGAACUUACCACGUAGAUUUUUGGCAGCAUCUUCAAGAGUCAUGCCAAAAUGCUGCUCCAGAAUCUUGCAAGUAAUCCCAUGAUCUUUUUCUAUCCUUUGUAUUGCGUUGUUCUUAUGUGAAUGGAUAUUGUCGUUGUUAGUCGUUGCAUUUGCCGCAGAAUUAAUUUCAAAAUUUGGUUGCUCAAAGUGUGAAUCAAGUUGCGUCAUUUCACUUGUAUCUUCAAUAUGGUCAUCAUGUGCUACAUCCACGUUACAUGUUCCUCUGUUUGUCACAGCUUCCUCUAUUGGAUGAGGAAGUAACGGAUGAACUUCCACUGUUUCUUCACAGUUGAGUGAGUCACGCUUGUGUGAUAAACAGGAAGAAACCAGUAGUGCAUUAGCACCAUUAUUCUCCCCGUCCUGUAAAUUUGACUGUUGACAGAAAGAAUCAAUUUCUGUUGUUUCUCCUCCAUCCUGAAGUGAUUGAACAGUUGGCAGAGGUUGGCCAAUUUCAAAGGAGUCAAGUUCAUCACUCGGGGUAACUUUAACAACUUCAACGA
rnacentral:lncRNA from 1 species